rnacentral:rRNA from 1 species
CCUACGGGGGACAGCAGUGAGGAAUAUUGGUCAAUGGACGAGAGUCUGAACCAGCCAAGUAGCGUGAAGGAUGACUGCCCUAUGGGUUGUAAACUUCUUUUAUAUGGGAAUAAAAUGUUCCACGUGUGGGAUUUUGUAUGUACCAUAUGAAUAAGGAUCGGCUAACUCCGUGCCAGCAGCCGCGGUAAUACGGAGGAUCCGAGCGUUAUCCGGAUUUAUUGGGUUUAAAGGGAGCGUAGGCCGGCUUUUAAGUCAGCUGUGAAAGUCCGCGGCUCAACCGUGGAAUUGCAGUUGAAACUGGAGGCCUGGAGUGCACACAGGGAUGCCGGAAUUCAUGGUGUAGCGGUGAAAUGCUUAGAUAUCAUGAAGAACUCCGAUCGCGAAGGCAAGUGGCCGGGGUGCAACUGACGCUGAGGCUCGAAAGUGCGGGUAUCAAACAGGAUUAGAUACCCUGGUAGUC